GAAUUACUCCCUCCGUUCGAAAAAGCUUGUCCCUUAAACAGAUGUAUUUAACACCAAGUUAGUGCUAGAUUCAUUUAUUUGAGAAAGAAGGUUGGAACAAGUUUUUUUGAACGAAGGGAGUACUAG
rfam:Triticum urartu cultivar G1812 contig1079402, whole genome shotgun sequence.